rnacentral:tRNA from 1 species
GUCCCUAUCGUCUAGAGGCCUAGGAUAUCGCCCUUUCACGGCGGUAACCGGGGUUCGAAUCCCCGUAGGGACGCCA